rnacentral:rRNA from 1 species
AUUGAACGCUGGCGGCAGGCCUAACACAUGCAAGUCGAAUGGUAACAGGAAACAGCUUGCUGUUUCGCUGACGAGUGGCGGACGGGUGAGUAAUGUCUGGGAAACUGCCUGAUGGAGGGGGAUAACUACUGGAAACGGUAGCUAAUACCGCAUAACGUCGCAAGACCAAAGAGGGGGGACCUUCGGGCCUCUUGCCAUCAGAUGUGCCCAGAUGGGAUUAGCUAGUAGGUGGGGUAACGGCUCACCUAGGCGACGAUCCCUAGCUGGUCUGAGAGGAUGACCAGCCACACUGGAACUGAGACACGGUCCAGACUCCUACGGAGGCAGCAGUGGGGAAUAUUGCACAAUGGGCGCAAGCCUGAUGCAGCCAUGCCGCGUGUAUGAAGAAGGCCUCGGUUGUAAGUACUU